UUGCAAAAAUGUUUUUUGUUAAUUGUACGAUGUCUAUGUGCUUUGUGCGAAAAACCCCAAAAUCAUAAAUACUACAUCUGUUUUACAUUGUUGGGUUUGUUACGCGAGCCAUGCUCCGUGUAUGAAGUCUAUGUGGUGCCCCUGUGAAUUCCUGAGUUCUCCCUGCGGAUCUGUACAGAACGUAUUGUGAAAAACUAGUUUUAGAAGCUGUUUACAGACCGACUACGCAUGCGCAAGUUUCUCGCGUGGAAGCGGACAGUUUCUACCGUAGUUUAGUAUAUAUUUGUUUGUCUUGCAAGUUCGUCUAUUAUUAAACCGUGCUUAAAAUUCUAGGAUCACUGCGAUUGAAGUCUCGGAGAAAUAAACGUUCGGAACCAUAUUAUUAUCCUUUAUUAUGGAGAGCGGUCAGAAGAGGAAGGCUUACAAUCCUAUCUUGAGAAAUACCGCACG